UGGGGAAUUUUGGACAAUGGGGGAAACCCUGAUCCAGCCAUCCCGCGUGUGCGAUGAAGGCCUUCGGGUUGUAAAGCACUUUUGGCAGGAAAGAAACGUCAUGGGUUAAUACCCCGUGAAACUGACGGUACCUGCAGAAUAAGCACCGGCUAACUACGUGCCAGCAGCCGCGGUAAUACGUAGGGUGCAAGCGUUAAUCGGAAUUACUGGGCGUAAAGCGUGCGCAGGCGGUUCGGAAAGAAAGAUGUGAAAUCCCAGAGCUCAACUUUGGAACUGCAUUUUUAACUACCGGUCUAGAGUGUGUCAGAGGGAGGUGGAAUUCCGCGUGUAGCAGUGAAAUGCGUAGAUAUGCGGAGGAACACCGAUGGCGAAGGCAGCCUCCUGGGAUAACACUGACGCUCAUGCACGAAAGCGUGGGGAGCAAACAGG
rnacentral:rRNA from 1 species